AUACGUAGGUGGCAAGCGUUGUCCGGAAUUACUGGGUGUAAAGGGAGCGUAGGCGGGAAUGCAAGUCAAGUGUUAAAUCUAUCGGCUCAACUGAUAGCUGCGCUUGAAACUGCGUUUCUUGAGUGAAGUAGAGGCAGGCGGAAUUCCUAGUGUAGCGGGGAAAUGCGUAGAUAUUAGGAGGAACACCAGUGGCGAAGGCGGCCUGCUGGGCUUUUACUGACGCUGAGGCUCGAAAGCGUGGGGAGCAAACAGGAUUAGAUACCCUGGUAGUCCACGCUGUAAACGAUGAUUACUAGGUGUGGGGGGACUGACCCCUUCCGUGCCGGAGUUAACACAAUAAGUAAUCCACCUGGGGAGUACGACCGCAAGGUUGAAACUCAAAUGAAUUGACGGGG
rnacentral:rRNA from 1 species